rnacentral:rRNA from 1 species
GAUGAACGCUAGCGGCAGGCCUAACACAUGCAAGUCGAGGGACCGGCGCACGGGUGAGUAACGCGUAUGCAACCUACCUUAUACAGGGGAAUAGCCCGAAGAAAUUCGGAUUAAUGCUCCAUGGUAUAAGAUGGGCAUGCGUAUCAUUAGCUAGUUGGUGUGGUAACGGCAUACCAAGGCAACGAUGAUUAGGGGUCCUGAGAGGGAGAUCCCCCACACUGGUACUGAGACACGGACCAGACUCCUACGGGAGGCAGCAGUGAGGAAUAUUGGUCAAUGGAGGCAACUCUGAACCAGCCAUGCCGCGUGCAGGAUGACGGUCUAUGGAUUGUAAACUGCUUUUGUACAGGAAGCGGUACUGUAAGAAUAAGGAUCGGCUAACUCCGUGCCAGCAGCCGCGGUAAUAC